UGUGUCAACAAUUUGAUCCACCAACUACUACUAUAGAAAAUUCGACAUUUUUUUGUUAACUCAAUUCACAUAUAAUGUACAUAUUCUGUGUUCAAUAGCUAUUUUUAUUUUAAUUAAAUUUAAGCAGCCUGCUAUGCAAAACCGCAACAAGUUUCACAGAAUAUACAUAUAUGAAUCCUUUGAAAAAAUAUUCUCGGUGCUCUUAUUUUCCUUCGCACGGCACAUAUCAAUAUAUACACGCAUAUCCCGAGGACAGGCCAAACAAAUCCUCGGGGGAGUUUCUGGCCACACAUCCUGCCCACAAUAAGCGUUGAUAGUCAUCAUAAAAAAAGCCAAAGAAAUGCCCUAAACACAGCCUACAGCCCCUUCUCCACCAUCCACCAUCUCUAAACAGCAUCCAAAGGCAAACAAAGGGGAGCCACUGGAACAACAGCAGCUCCUUAUCACCACCAAAAAUAAAUAUACAAGAAAGGAAAAGAAAAAAAAAACGAGCAAGAUAUAACCCCUUGGGGAAGUCCUGUCCAGAAAUGCUCCGUUGUUUCGUGUUAAAUUGACCGCUCACAUGCAACUUGGGGCCAUGGAAGACAAUAAAUAUUUAUAUGUAAAUGCCGGCAAUAUUGUCUUCAUUGUGCACACAGGGCACCAAACAAACAAACGCAAAAAAGGUGGAGAUUUUGCUAACCUAAACCCGGAGGGUACAGUUCACACCAUGCUAAGUGCGCCAGAGGUCGCACUAAAGUAAGACAUUAAAUGUAACAAUUGAUAUAAUUGUACCCAUUGCGUGUGCUGCAGCAAAGUUAUAUGCUUUUCCAGCCACUGAAAGUAAUGCACACAAAAAAGGCAUUUACACAUAUAUUUCUAUUUAGCAGCUACAUUUAUAUGGCAAAAUUAAUAGAAAUUAUUAAUAACAAAAAAUUACUUAAAUCACUAAAAUUGAACUUUAGUUUUAAGGCCACCUUGUAAAAGAUUACAAAUUGCUUUUCCAAAUUAAAGGGAU